CGCAGGGGUCCCGCCUUCUGCGGGUGAGGCUGCUCUGGGACAGCCCGGGUUCUGGGUGUGGCGAAGGGCGGCGGUCUGGGGAGGCGGCCCGGCACCUGCGAGAGCGCGAGGGGUGGGGACUGUGGUCUCAGAGUUAAUCAUGAGGUUUCAGAGAUGUUCUGUUCAGCUGCCUUCUACGGGGGACUUUCUGAUGUGCCUUGUCCCCGAAUCCCCCACCUCUAGACAGACGAGCUCCACCCCCAUCCCGGAGAUUCCCCCGAUCUCUGACCCUCUAGUGGGGGAUUUGGAACCGUAUACAGCGAGGGCCUCGGUGUCCACGCGCGUCUGUCUGUGGCGUGUGUGCACCCGCGUGUCUGGAAGGGGCUGCUGUGCCCCAGGAAGGGAGUGUGUGCGCCCUGUGUGUCUAAGUUGGUGCUGACUCCAUCAGAACUUCUGGCCCCUCCUCCUCUCUCCCUGAUUGCAUCAUUAGUGCUAAUUGAGGGGCUUUCACACGCCAGUGCAUUAGCUGUUUGGAGUGAGCUCCCCCCUCCUGCGAGAUAAGCCGCUGCCCCCUCCCCCUCGCAGCUCUCCACUUCCCCAGGGCCCUGAAACUGUCCACCGAGGUCCUCUCACCUCCUCGGGCUCCCUCCAGCUUGCCUCUGGACAGGAAAAUCUCUCUCUUCCGGCAGUGUCAUGGAUAGGCGGAGGACUCCGGGGUGGGGGUAAAGCUUAGGGGUGGGGGAGGAAUCUAGAACCAUCUUUCAGAGGAGCUUUCUAGGGAGAGGAGGUUUUCCCCUUAAGAGGUCUCACAUUCCUCUUGCAAGUAGGGAGGGAGGGUCUCUGCGAUUAAGAAAGGGAAUAGAAAUUUCUGACUGGUUCUUUUGAGCGUGGAAAGGGAGAGGGGCAAAUUUCUUAUGCCUAGCCUGUGAUUCUAUUGAGGUAGGCCUUCUGGCUUCGACUUUGUGGUCCCCCAAGACUCAGAAAGUGGGGGCCAAGCUGACUUAAUCGUCAUGGGAAAGGCAGGUUGAAGGAAGCCAUGAUUCCCCCUGAGAGAUUUGGGUCUGAUGGAGUCCGGUCUAUCGGUCUGUUCCUGUUUAAGCUGCUCCGCCCAGCUCUGGCCCAUAGCAGCCGGGAGUGUGUGUGUGUGUGUGGGGGGGGGGCUCUGAGCAGAUGCCCUCCCCAGCCCUCACACCAGAUGUCUUUGGUCUAAUUAACUGUGCUGAGAAAACCAACCUGGGUUUGUAAACAGAGCUACUGGCUAAAGUCAACACGGAACGGUAGCAAACAGUAAACAGUCCCCUUACACUCAGCCUCAAUCGCGACCAGCGGCCCCCCAGGGAAGACUGGGAGCCCGGUGGAUCAGAAUUCCCCUAUCUGCCUGGGUGACCCCAACUGACAUUCCCUUACCAGCCCCACAGUGUCUCCUCAAGAAGUGUGAGGACCAGCUACCAUCCCAAGAUAGCUGCCCGCUUCCUACUCGGCUGCACCCACUGCUCAGGAUGCCUUUGUGGUGAUCUCUCCUUCCCUCCACCUUCUGGCUUUCCAAGACUGUGCCCGCUGUGACCGGGACUCUCUCAGAUGGAGUGGCGAGCAGAGAGCCAGGGAGUUGGCCAUCCAUAAGUGGUGAUGAACAGACUGUGGCAGGAGCUGGUGAAACAGAGGCUUCCUUGUGGCUUACAACAGCCAGAUGAAGGAGAUCAGAGAAAGAGACCCCUAGGCCCGUGGGCUGUCAGGGAAGGCUUCUGGAAGGGGAAGGCCAUCUUGGACUUCAGAGGCAUUUGCUUGGCAGACCAGGCCAAGGAAGAAGAAAGAACAUACAUGUUCUCCUCAAGCCACAAAGAGCAUCCCUUUGCAGACUCCAGUCUGGCAGUAUGAUUUGGAGACCAUAGACAUCAUUCCGUGUCCCUUGGGGACUGGAGGUAGAGGGUCAACUCUGUCAGGAUCCCUAGAGACCCUGUGGAAGGGACAGGAUGACACUGAAAACUACUUCUGAGGACUCGCAACCCAGAGCUGGAUGACACUCUCUGGGAAGGAGAUGUCUAAAAGUUGCAAGGCUGAGAAUACGCUGAACACAUUCCGCCGCUUCUGGAAAGUUUCUGCUGUUACAGCGAUUUGCAAAUUUCUCCCAAGAUGAAAAUUCAAAACAAAGUGGGAAGUAAAUGGACCUUGUGAGCGAUGGCGCAGGAAGCUUUGUCAUUGGGGUGUUUAUGUGCACUGGGGCGGGGGGCGGGUGGAGGGUGGACUGAACAGGGCCGUGGGCCCCUUCUUCAUCUUGACGGUGCCUGGAAUGCUGGGUAGCGGUGAAGGAAAGAUGCUGACCCUCUAGGUUAAAAGUGACAUCUCUCUCCCUGUUCCAGAGACAGAGGCAGCUGCCACUGCCCCCUCCCCUGAGUGGCAGGAGGUACCCAAGAACAAGAGGACCGAUGAACAGAGGUCAGACCGAGCAUCAGGAUUUGCAGAAGUGUUGGGGUGGAGUGAUGAGGCUUGAGAUGCAGGAGGGUGGCGUGUUUAUUUAUACAAACCUUUCCCCCCACCCCCAAGGAACAGGCUGAACGCUUUUUGAGUCGCCAAACACUAAACCCCUUUCUUCCUCAGAGCUGUGCCCCUUCUGGAGCCCAGAAGCAGUUCUGUCCCCUCUUCCGGCCCCCAUCUCCAUCCCUGUCCACAUCUGGGUCUACAUUCCUGUCUAGAGCCACAGCAUCCCCGGCAGCAGCCGUGGCUGAGCCACAUCUGGGGCUCUGAUGGCCACAUCUGUUCUACCCCCUCUCAGGGCUGGUUAUUCCGUUCUCACUUUUAUCGUCAUCUGUGGAGUCUAGAGGGGAUCU